GCAAAGUUGUAUAUUUGAGUAGAUAUGGAGCUCUCUAGAAGAAAUUAACUUUCAGUUGUUUCUUUAGUCUUCAAGAUAUGAUAUAACUAUUUUUAUAUAUUUUUUGUAAUCUCCAUUUUAUAUAUUGCUCAUAUUAAUAAAGGACUGAUGGCUAUUUUCCCAACCUCCUUCAACCAUCAAAAAAAGAUAGGACGAAAAGACGAGGCUUGUUUUAGCUACUAGUUACGCAUGGGAGAUGGCAAGGGCUAGGUGCAGCUCUUAGAAAUUUGGAUUGUGAGAAGGAUUCGGGUUAUAUCUAUUGUACGAAAGAAUGAUUGAUCUUUUUUUGUGACAUCAAUUAUUAGGUUGCAUUGCAUGGAUUUUAAAGUACUCUAAUCUCUUUCUUUCAUCUGCUUGCAUAACUCUUAAAGUGGAUAUUGUGCAAUGCAAUGGUUGGUGUUGCAA
rnacentral:lncRNA from 1 species